AGGGGUAUAGCUCAGUUGGUAGAGCGGCGGUCUCCAAAACCGCAGGUCGUGGGUUCAAGUCCCUCUGCCCCUGCCA
rnacentral:tRNA from 2 species